rnacentral:rRNA from 1 species
AUACGUAGGUGGCAAGCGUUGUCCGGAUUUAUUGGGCGUAAAGCGAGCGCAGGUGGUUUUUUAAGUCUGAUGUGAAAGCCUUCGGCUUAACCGGAGAAGUGCAUCGGAAACUGGGAGACUUGAGUGCAGAAGAGGGCAGUGGAACUCCAUGUGUAGCGGUGGAAUGCGUAGAUAUAUGGAAGAACACCAGUGGCGAAGGCGGCUGUCUAGUCUGUAACUGACGCUGAGGCUCGAAAGCACGGGUAGC